CACAGUCCCUGGAAUGCAGCCGCUCCUCCAUCCGGCCUCCCGUGCGCCUCCUUGGACUUUGUAGGAUGGGCCGUGCGCUCUGGCAGCCCUUCCUGUGAGAGCUCAGCAGGCCGGGUUGACCGGGCGAGCCUCGGCCUCUCCUUGCCCCUGGUGCUGAGCGGGAGGGGCAUGUGAAGGCGUGCCCCUCUCCCCCGCCAGCUUAGCCCCAAGACCCUGCUCUGCCCAGCGGACCGGGGAGCGAGAAGAAGCAGACCCAAGGCGGAGCAGGGAACCGUGUGCAUGUCCCAGGGAGAUGGUCCCUUUGUCACUGUGCUUUGAAAACUAGACACAGAAGAUUCACUGCAUCCAGCACUGAGAUGCAGCCUGCUCUGGGGUGGGGCGCAGCAAGGAUUCCCCUGCCCGGUGCUGAGAUGCAGCCACUUCUGGGGCGCAGAGCAGAUACUGCUAGUAGAAGGAUCAUGCAUGAAAUGUAGCUGCCUCUGAGGUGAGGUUCAACUGUUUGUCCAGGGGUCACUCUUCCCACACUGAUAUGCAGCCACCUCUGGGGAAGAGCAGAGCAGGUAUUUAUACAAGGAUUGCGCCCCCAUCACUGAAAUGCAACCACCUCCAGAGUGGGGGACAGGAGCUGUUUAUAUAGGAAUCACUCACGCAGCACUGAAAUGCAGCCACAUCUGGGGAGGAGCCUGGCAGCUGUUUACAUUUACAUCACCUACCCAGCACUGAAUUGCAGACACCUCUGGGGUAGGGCAUGGUAGCUAUUUAUAGAGACACCUUCCGCUAAAAUGCAGCCACUAUGGGAUAGGACAUGGCAGUUGUUUAUACCGUGACCACUCGCUCAGCACUGAAAAGCAGCCACCUCUGCUGUAGGGUGGGGCAGCUUUUUAUAAAGGGAUCCUCUGCCUAGUGCUGAGAUGCAGCCAUCUCUGGGGUAGAGCNAGCCAUCUCUGGGGUGGAGUGCAGGAGCUGUUAAUACAGAGAUCCCACACCCAGUGCUAAGACACAGCUAGCCCUGCAGAGGGCUGCAGGCAGACAGCGUACGGGGAAGAGGAAGUAGGCCAGAGCACAGGCUGGGAGAAG
rnacentral:lncRNA from 1 species